CUUCAAAGAAGAAUUCAGUGCAACAACUGAACAUCAGUGUGAACUUCCGAGCUAUAAGAAGGGCUAAACCAGGUCAGAUGAGCAGAACACCAGGGAAGUGAUGAUCUGCUGAGGGGCUUUGGCUCCAAGUGGGCUGAAUCUGAGGAUUCUGUGAGACAAGAGUAGAAGGAUAUAUCAGAAAGACUUCAGCCUACAGGAUUCCUUUUAUUCCCUUGCCAACACUGUGGUUGCACUUAGAUAAAAGGAAGAGCUCCCUAAAUACUCUAAGAAAGAAGCCUCAGUCCUGGUGGUGUUUCCAAAGCUGCCCUACAUUCCAUCCCUGGACGUCAGAAACGCUCUGUGGCCCCAAGUACCACCAUGACCCAGCUGAAGGCUCCAGCUGCUGGAGCCUGCUAAAGGCAUUUGCAAGGCACAAGUUGUUAAGAAGUGAGCAAAGUUCUGGAAAAUAGCAGCUCUUCCUUUCAAAUAUCCAAUUAAACUGAUGGUCCUUAUGUUCCUCAAGAGUGAGAAGUAUUAUGGCCAAACUGGGAAG